rnacentral:rRNA from 1 species
GAUGAACGCUGGCGGCGUGCCUAAUACAUGCAAGUCGAGCGAACAGACGAGGAGCUUGCUCCUCUGACGUUAGCGGCGGACGGGUGAGUAACACGUGGAUAACCUACCUAUAAGACUGGGAUAACUUCGGGAAACCGGAGCUAAUACCGGAUAACAUGUUGAACCGCAUGGUUCAACAGUGAAAGACGGUCUUGCUGUCACUUAUAGAUGGAUCCGCGCCGCAUUAGCUAGUUGGUAAGGUAACGGCUUACCAAGGCAACGAUGCGUAGCCGACCUGAGAGGGUGAUCGGCCACACUGGAACUGAGACACGGUCCAGACUCCUACGGGAGGCAGCAGUAGGGAAUCUUCCGCAAUGGGCGAAAGCCUGACGGAGCUACGCCGCGUGAGUGAUGAAGGUCUUCGGAUCGUAAAACUCUGUUAUUAGGGAAGAACAAAUGUGUAAGUAACUAUGCACGUCUUGACGGUACCUAAUCAGAAAGCCACGGCUAACUACGUG